rnacentral:rRNA from 2 species
CCUAAGCCCUAGGAGAAAUCCGACGCCUACGGCGACGGGAAUAAAGAAUUGUAAGAAAUCGACCCGUUGAUCGGGCGAAAGGGAAUCCGGUUCCUAUUCCGGAACCCGGCAGCGGAACCGCUGUUUGUCGGGCCCUCACAAGGGGUUCGUCAGGGUAACCUAAAAGGGCCCGGAGACGCCGUCGGGAGCCCCGGAAAGAGUUUUCUUUUCUGCAUGAGCGUUCGAGUUCCCUGGAAUCCUCUCGCAGGGAGAUAGGGUUUGGAACGCG